rnacentral:rRNA from 1 species
AAGUCGUAACAAGGUUUCCGUAGGUGAACCUGCGGAAGGAUCAUUACAGUAUGAUUAGAGGAGUUGAUGCUGGCCUUAUAUUAAGGCAUGUGCUCGCUCUUCGACUUCAAUCCACAUACACCUGUGCACCCAUGGCGAGUUUAGUGCCUCAGUAUAGUUUUCGGACUGUGACUUGGGACUGGCUUGUCAUACCUUAUACACAUUAAUACCAGUUAAAUGCAUGUCUUACCGCUCUACGGAGCAAAACAUUACACAACUUUCAACAACGGAUCUCUUGGCUUUCGCAUCGAUGAAGAACGCCGCGAAAGCGCGAAACGUAAUGUGAAUUGCAGAAUUCAGUGAAUCAUCGAAUCUUUGAACGCAUCUUGCGCUCCUUGGUAUUCCGAGGAGCAUGCCUGUUUGAGUGUCGUGAAUACUCUCAAACUCUUAGUUUUUUUAUAAGGACUUUGAGUUUGGAUUUGGAUGUUGCAGUGACUUUGGUCAUGGCUCAUCUCGAAAUGUAUUAGCUGGUCCACCUCGGUCGUAACNNACGGUGUGAUAAGAAACAUUCAUUUGUGACUGUAGCGCUGCUGUUACUGACUGGAUAAAGACUGCUUCUAAUGGUCUGCUUGCAGACAAACUUCACUAUGUCAUCUGACCUCAAAUCAGGUAGGACUACCCGCUGAACUUAAGCAUAUCAAUAAGCGGAGGAAAAGAAACUAACAAGGAUUCCCCUAGUAACGGCGAGUGAAGNGGGAAGAGCUCAAAUUUAAANUCUGGCGGCCUCAGGUCGUCCGAGUNGUAGUCUAGAGAAGUGUUUUCCGCGCUGGACCGUGUACAAGUCCCUUGGAACAGGGCGUCAUAGAGGGUGAGAAUCCCGUCUUUGACACGGACUACCAGUGCUAUGUGAUGCACUCUCGAAGAGUCGAGUUGUUUGGGAAUGCAGCUCAAAUCGGGUGGUAAAUUCCAUCUAAAGCUAAAUAUUGGCGAAAGACCGAUAGCGAACAAGUACCGUGAGGGAAAGAUGAAAAGCACUUUGGAAAGAGAGUUAAACAGUACGUGAAAUUGUUGAAAGGGAAACGCUUGAAGUCAGUCGCGUCUUGCGGAACUCAGCCGAGCUUGCUUGGUGCAUUUUCUGUUUGACGGGCCAGCAUCAAUUUCGGCCGUUGGAAAAAGGUAAGGGGAAUGUGGCACCUCCGGGUGUGUUAUAGCCCCUUGUCAUAUACAUCGGUUGGGAUUGAGGACUGCAGCACGCCUUUAUUGGCCGGGGUUCGCCCACGUAACGUGCUUAGGAUGCUGGCGUAAUGGCUUUAAGCGACC